rnacentral:rRNA from 1 species
GACGAACGCUGGCGGCGUGCUUAACACAUGCAAGUCGAACGGAAAGGCCCUGCUUUUGUGGGGUGCUCGAGUGGCGAACGGGUGAGUAACACGUGAGUAACCUGCCCUUGACUUUGGGAUAACUUCAGGAAACUGGGGCUAAUACCGGAUAGGAGCUCCUGCUGCAUGGUGGGGGUUGGAAAGUUUCGGCGGUUGGGGAUGGACUCGCGGCUUAUCAGCUUGUUGGUGGGGUGGUGGCUUACCAAGGCUUUGACGGGUAGCCGGCCUGGGAGGGUGACCGGCCACAUGAGGCCUGCGGUACGGCGCAGACUGCUACGGGCCGCAGCAGUGGGGAGUAUGACGGAGUGGGGGGAAGCCUGAUGCGGCAGCGCCGCGUGCGUGAUGACGGCCUUCGGGUUGUAAACCGCUUUCGCCUGUAACGAAGCGUGAGUGACGGUAAUGAGUAAGGAAGCACCGGCUAACUACGUG